rnacentral:rRNA from 1 species
UGGGGAAUUUUGGACAAUGGGCGCAAGCCUGAUCCAGCAAUGCCGCGUGAGUGAAGAAGGCCUUAGGGUUGUAAAAUCCUUUCGCCGAGGACGAUAAUGACGGUACUCGGAGAAGAAGCUCCGGCUAACUUCGUGCCAGCAGCCGCGGUAAUACGAAGGGGGCUAGCGUUGUUCGGAUUUACUGGGCGUAAAGCGCGUGUAGGCGGGUCGUUAAGUUGGGGGUGAAAUCCCGAGGCUCAACCUCGGAACUGCCUUCAAAACUGGCGACCUGGACCUAAGUAGAGGCAAGUGGAAUUGCGAGUGUAGAGGUGAAAUUCGUAGAUAUUCGGCAGGAACACCAGUGGCGAAGGCGACUUGCUGGACUUAUGGUGACGCUGAGACGCGAAAGCGUGGGGAGCAAACAGGAUUAGAUACCCCUGUAGUCCCUGAGCGGGCUGGCAAGGCGCAU